CUAGCUCACAAAGUAGAAGUAUCCUUAAUGUCUUUUCAUUAGCAAUGACCUACUGAUCUUAAGACUGGAGAUACGGCUUAAUUGUGAUAUCCACUGGAUUAUGGGCCAUAGAUUUCUGGCAACAUAUAGUGACUCAGUCCAGAUAUCCUCCAAGACUAUGGCAGAACUGAACUUGCACCAGUGGACCCAGAGACAAAAUUAUAAAGAAUGCUGAAAAUAAGGAAAUAAAGGGAAAAUGUGAUGGAGCCAUACCUACCUUGACAACAUGCAUGAAACUACUACAACUCAAGAGACCUGUGUUUUAUAACAUUAGGUCCAUUCAAGGUGAGUAUCUAGAAUUGGAAGACAAGUUUUCCAAAACUCAUGAGUUCAGUUAAAGUGUGGACCAUAAAAAAGGUCUGCCUG
rnacentral:lncRNA from 1 species